CAUGGCUGUCCUUUAGUGCCUGAGAGAAAUGGUAGUGGUUCGUAUGCUCUGCCAGGCGCAGCAAGAAUUAGCAGGCUGUACACAGAAAGGCCGGGACGCACUUAAAAGUGUGUUUCACCUUCAGGCGAAAAAAUCGUAUUAUUGCCACUGUGAAGAACAAAUUGCUUACAAGGUCAUCCCGCACAGCUUCCAGUUCAAGUUUGAGGUUCUGAAGGAAAAGCCGAAAAAUCAGAUGUGCAGCAGAAUAUAGAAAGCAGAAUAUUUAUUUCAGUACUUUCACUUUGUAAGAGCAUCCUGUAGAGUCUGCACAAGUUCCUUCAUUUGCCGGUCUUCCUCCUCUUUGCGCUUAAGGACAGCUUGUACCUACCAAGAAAAAAAAGUGAAUAAUGACUAAAGUGGAAGAGAUUUUAAUGUAAACGUGUACCACAAUCUGGGAUUAUUUCUCAAUAUAUAGUCUAAUUAAUUUCAGACCUUCAGGCUUCAAGACCUUUACCUAUACCAUGACACCCUUCCAUAAAUUACACAAUUCAAAGGCAACCAGCCCUCUGCAUCCAAUCUACUGGAUUACCACUUUCUAGUACCCUUACUCCUAAAUAGUUUCACAAAUAGCAAGAUGUAAAGGUAGGGACAGAUCUGUUUUUCUCUGCUGUUGUAGACUGCAUAGAUUUGGUUAAACUUAAGAGCUCCCAGUAGGCAUUUUGGAGUAGCACAACUUUUACAUUGGUCUUUUAUAUAUUUUUUAUAAUUUUAUAAUUGUUUGACUUCUUCUUCUGGCUCUUUCCAGCAUUUAAAUGGGGGUCACUGACCCCCAUCUAAAAAAAUAAAUGCUUUGAAAAGC